GCCAAUGGAAAGGUACCAGCAGUGCAAGGAGAGCGGGUGGGAGCCAGGAAGAUAAAGAAGGAGCGGCCGGGCUGGAUGGAAAUCACUCCUGGUCAAAUGGAGUCAUGUGGUCCCAGGACAUUCCAUAUUCAAGGUGAGUCCUCAUCCCCACUCCAGGAUGUAUGAAGGUUGCCACGGGAUCCCUGUUCUCCCAUCCUUGGGCGACCACACCUCUGAUCCAGUAAAAGUUGCAGCAGCUUCAGGAGCGUUUGGAUACGGAGGGACUUUUAUUUGGAGAGCCAAACCUUGUCCAAGAUGGUGGAAUAGAGGUAAGCAUACUUCCCUCUCACCUCAAGCCCAGUGAGAUGGUCUUCAAGGAGGCCAUUGGGGACCUUCCCUGGGUCUGAGUGGUUUUCACACCAUGGUCUGCCAUGCAACACACACCUAAAGAAUCUAGGGGUGAGAGGCUGUGGCUACCAGCCUGAAGCAGUGAGCAGGGGCAGGGAGGCACGACAUGUCAAGAUUGAGCUACCUGUCCCCCAGAAUGUGGACAAAGCUGGGCCAGAUGCGGGCCACAAGGAGGAGCCAGUCUGGCACCUACCCGAGUGGACUGAGGCAAGAUGAUCUCAAAAGCAGAACUGACUGACCGUCAGGUUCCAGGUGCAGCGGGAGAAAAUUUAAGUGCACAUUUGGUCAUCUUGUGACCCCGAGGGGAGCCGAUACAAGCUAAAAGUGGAAGAGCAUUGAGACUGAAAAAACCUGAGUCCCCAGUGACGUCACUGAGCCACUGAAUGAGCCAACCUUGGCCCCUCCAACCUCAGGACUUCCCAGCAUGUCCUCGUUAUCUAAGCCAUCUGAACUUUCUGGUUCUUGAAUCCAAGCUGAUACGAGCAAUUUGCCCUAAAGUCUGUAAUUAGCAAGUGGAAAAGUUGAAACUGGAUGAUAGGCCUGGGGGCCUCUGAGUCCAGUGCUUGUCAUGGGUCACUGCGCUGAGAUGUUCAGAUGUUCGUGGGAAAAGUGCUGUGGAUGCUCACAUCACAGACACGUGAGCCCAAGUCACAGCUGAGACAUGGGUAGCAUGCAAAACUGAGGAAACAAGAUGGUAAAAAGCGUUAAGAGAGCAAAAGUGGAAGCUGUAAGCACCCAUCAGGAUACAGCAAGGACUCCAUACAAGUGUAUUCUGAGAAACUGUCAUAGACCAGAGGAGACAGGGGUGGGGGAAGACAUGACAUCUAAAUGCCAGGUGGUGACGUGGAUUGGAUCCUGGAAGAGAAAAAGGAUGCUGGCUUCCGAGUACUGCUGAACUGUGG
rnacentral:lncRNA from 1 species